UCGAGCGUCAUUUCAACCCUCAAGCUCUGCUUGGUCUUGGGCCUUGCCGGCAACGGCUGGCCUUAAAAUCAGUGGCGGUGCCAUCGAGCUCUACGCGUAGUAAUUAAACCCUCGCUUCUGAGUCUCGGUGGACGCUUGCCAGCAACCUCUAAAUUUUUAUGGUUGACCUCGGAUCAGGUAGGGAUACCCGCUGAACUUAA
rnacentral:misc_RNA from 1 species